rnacentral:rRNA from 1 species
UUCGCAAUGCCCGAAAGGGUGACGAAGCGACGCCGCGUGCGGGAAGAAGGCCUUCGGGUUGUAAACCGCUGUCGGGAGUUAAGAAAUGCAGAGAUGUUAAUAGCGUCUUUGCUUGACUAAGGCUCCGGAGGAAGCCACGGCUAACUCUGUGCCAGCAGCCGCGGUAAUACAGAGGCGGCAAGCGUUGUUUGGAAUUAUUGGGCGUAAAGAGCACGUAGGCGGCUAUGUAAGUCGGUUGUGAAAGCCUUCCGCUCAACGGGAGAACAGCAUCCGAUACUGCAUGGCUUGAGUGCGGGAGGGGAGAGUGGAACUUCUGGUGGAGCGGUGAAAUGCGUAGAUAUCAGAAGGAACGCCGGCGGCGAAAGCGGCUCUCUGGCCCAUAACUGACGCUGAGUGUGCGAAAGCUAGGGGAGCAAACGGGAUUAGAUACCCCGGUAGUCCUAGCCGUAAACGAUGGGCACUAAGUAGAGGGGUUUU